rnacentral:tRNA from 1 species
GGUGGCUUAGUAGUAGAGUGAUUGCCUUACAUGCAAAAGGCCCUGGGUUCGAUUCCUCAGCACCA